AUGGUUGUAACUCCAGGACACUCCCUGACCAUCAACUGUAAAGUCUCUGGGUAUUGUCUGACUGAUAGCCGCUAUGCUACACACUGGGUCCGCCAGCCUGCAGGGAAAGCUCUGGAAUGGCUGGCGGCCAUGAAGCUCCUACCAGCCCUGCUGCUCCUCACAGCUCUCACUCUCUCAGGUGUUCAGGGUGAGAUUGUCCUGACAGAAUCUGAAGCGGUGGUAAAGAGACCAGGAGACUCUCACACACUGACCUGUACAGCCUCUGGGUUUACACUCAGCAGCAACUGGAUGGGCUGGAUCAGACAGGCUCCUGGGAAGGCACUGGAGUGGGUUGCCUAUAUUAGCACUAGCGGUGGCACCAUCUACUAUUCCCAGUCUGUUCAGGGAAGAUUCACCAUCUCCAGAGACAACUCCAACAGCAAGCUGUAUUUACAGAUGAACAGCCUGACAGCUGAAGACACUGCUGUGUAUUACUGUGCCAGCUGUAAAGUCUCUGGGUAUUCCCUGACUAGCAGCAGCUACUGUACAGGCUGGAUCCGACAGCCUGCAGGGAAAGCCCUGGAGUGGAUCGGCUCCCCGCUGGAGAUAGAUAUCCAAGCGCUGAACAUGAUGCUCGUUUGCAUCAGUCAGACUUCAGCUGCAGAAAUGGACUGCAAGUAA